UCCAUAACAAGGGGCCAACAGUGGCAGCAAACAUUUUACAGAUAGAAAAAUAUGUGGAUUCCGAAUAAAUGUCCGCAUUCCAAUUAAACACAGGGAGGGGAAGAUUUGGAGAUACCUCCGAGAUGUAAUCCAGAGAACCUUUUGAAGAUUCAAACACAAUUGUAAUAUACAGCCACCAGCAAAAUGUUGAACGGAUAAAAAUGGUUCUGGACGUCUUUUCAAACACGAUGCAAGAUUUGUUUACUUCCAGGAGAAUUACUGCAAUGAGCUAAUGUGGAAAUAAUGUUUCCUAUUGUUUAUUUGCUGCAUUGAUUUAGGUGCAGUAAGCCCAAUCUGCAUGUUUUAUACAUUUUUUUGUUUCCAAAAUAAAUCUAAU